UGCUCAGCAACUCCUAUCCCUACUUCCGCGUGGUAUUGGCUGAAAACUACGAGCAACCUUAAGGAAUAUCAGGAAACCAACCCUGGUGGGAACUUUUGUCAUAGGCUAACAGGGAAGG
rnacentral:ribozyme from 1 species